rnacentral:rRNA from 1 species
AUGAAUUUCUUGGCCUGGAACUGUCGAGGACUGGGGUUGGACUCGACAGUCGGCGAACUAAGGGACCUGAUACGGUCAUACAACCCAGCGGUGGUUUUUCUUUCGGAGACAAAGAAGAAGGCGAGAGCGAUGGAGAAAAUAAAAUGGAGUUUGGGUUUCAAAAGUGGUGUAGCGGUGGACUGCCAAGGCAUGAGUGGUGGCCUAGCUUUAUGGUGGAGAGAGAAC